rnacentral:rRNA from 1 species
GAACCGUUGGUUCAGAUAUUUGGUCAUUGCGGUUAGCUGAACAGCUAGUGCCGCGAAGCUACCAUCUGUAGGAUUAUGACUGAACGCCUCUAAGUCAGAAUCCAUGCUGGAAAGCGACGAUAUUCACCUCUCCCGAUGUUACACGCAUCACGAUAGGCUUCGGCCGAGCAUCAUACUCCAUCGCAAUUUCGAAUGUUGGGAGGGAUAAAUCCUUUGUAGACGACUUAAAUAUGGAACGGGGUAUUGUAAGCAUGAGAGUAGGCUUUGUCCUACGAUCUGCUGAGAUUCAGCCUCUUG